AGCACUGUAGCUCCAUGGUAGAGCAUUUGCUUUGCAUGCAGAAGGUCCCAGGUUCAAUCCCCAGGGAAGGUUG